ACAAACGACUCUCGGCAACGGAUAUCUCGGCUCACGCAUCGAUGAAGAACGUAGCAAAAUGCGAUACUUGGUGUGAAUUGCAGAAUCCCGUGAACCAUCGAGUUUUUGAACGCAAGUUGCGCCCGAAGCCAUUCGGUCGAGGGCACGUCUGCCUGGGCGUCAC
rnacentral:rRNA from 1 species